rfam:Otolemur garnettii contig086392, whole genome shotgun sequence.
GCGAGGAGCAGUGGCAUGUGCCUGUAGUCCCAGCUACUCCGGAGGCUGAGACAGGAGGAUCGCUUCAGUCCAGGAGUUCUGGGCUGUAGUUCAGUAUGCCCAUCGGGUAUCCACACUAAGUUCAGCAUCAAUAUGGUGACCUCCAGGAGUGGGGUCCACCAGGUUGCCUAAGGAGGGGUGAAUCGGCCCAGGUGGGGUGAACCGACCCGGGGGCUGGUCAAAACUCCCGUGCUGAUCAGUAGUGGGAUCGUGCCUGUGAAUAGCCACUGCACUCCAGCCUGGGCAACAUAGUAAGACCCUGUCUCUC